UGUCAGGUGUGGUAGGGGGCCAGGUGUGAAGGGUCAGAUGUGCCAGGUGUGAAGAGCCAGGUAGGAGCCCAGGCCAGGUGUGCCAGGUGUGAAACGCCAGGUACAGGGCAAGGCCAGGUAUACCAGGUGUGAAGAACCAUGUGGAGGUGUGCCAGGUAUCAGGUAAAGCCACAGUUCAUGCAGCACAGCACACAUGGAACAAGUGUGUUAGGGGGGUGUCAGAGGGGUUGUCAGAGGGGUGUCAGUGCAAGGGUUGGGUGAAGUAGACAGGAGGGGUAGGGUAGAUAGGAGAGGGUAGGGGUGUAUCAUGCAGAAAGAGAUGUGGGGUGUUGGAUUGACAAGGGGUUGGAUAUAGGGGUGGAUGGUUGAUAAGGGGUUGGGAAUAGGGAAGGAUGGAUGGAUGAUAAGGGGUUGGGGAUAGGGGUGGAUGGAUGAUAGGGGUGGAUGGAUGAUAAGGGUUUGGGGAUAGGGGUGGAUGGUUGAUAAGGGGUUGGAGAUAGGGGUGGAUGGAUGGAUGAUAGGGGGUUGGGGAUAGGGGUGGAUGGUUGAUAAGGGGUUGGGGAUAGGGGUGGAUGGAUGGAUGAUAAGGGGUUGGGGAUAGGGGUGGAUGGAUGAUAAGGGGUUGGGAAUAGGGAAGGAUGGAUGAUAAGGGGUUGGGGAUAGGGGUGGAUGGUUGAUAAGGGGUUGGGGAUAGGGGUGGAUGGAUGAUAAGGGGUUGGGGAUAGGGGUGGAUGGUUGAUAAGGGGUUGGGGAUAGGGGUGGAUGGAUGGAUGAUAAGGGGUUGGGGAUAGGGGUGGAUGGAUGAUAAGGGGUUGGGAAUAGGGAAGGAUGGAUGAUAAGGGGUUGGGGAUAGGGGUGGAUGGUUGAUAAGGGGUUGGGGAUAGGGGUGGAUGGAUGAUAAGGGGUUUGGGGAUAGUGGUGGAUGGAUGAUAAGGGUUUGGGGAUAGGGGUGGAUGGUUGAUAAGGAGUUGGGGAUAGGGGUGGAUGGAUGGAUGAUAAGGGGUUGGGGAUAGGGGUGGAUGGAUGAUAAGGGGUUGGGGAUAGGGGAGGAUGGAUGAUAAGGGGUUUGGGGAUAGGGGUGGAUGGAUGAUAAGGGUUUGGGGAUAGGGGUGGGUGGAUGAUAAGGGGUUGGAGAUAGGGGUGGAUGGAUGAUAAGGGGUUGGAAAUAGGGGUGGAUGGAUGAUACGGGUGGGUGGAUGAUAAGGGGUUGGAAAUAGGGGUGGAUGGAUGAUAGGGGUGGAUGGAUGAUAAGGGGUUGGGGAUAGGGGUGGAUGGAUGAUAAGGGGUUGGGGAUAGGGGUGGAUGGAUGAUACGGGUGGGUGGAUGAUAAGGGGUUGGAAAUAGGGGUGGAUGGAUGAUAGGGGUGGAUGGAUGAUAAGGGGUUGGGGAUAGGGGUGGAUGGAUGAUAAGGGGUUGGGGAUAGGGGUGGAUGGAUGGAUGGAUGAUAAGGGGUUGGGGAUAGGGGUGGAUGGAUGAUAAGGGGUCGGGAUAGGGGUGGAUGGAUGAUAAGGGGUUGGGGAUAGGGGUGGAUGGAUGAUAAGGGGUUGGGGAUAGGGGUGGAUGGAUGAUAAGGGGUUGGGGAUAGGGGUGGAUGGAUGAUAAGGGGUUGGGGAUAGGGGUGGAUGGAUGAUAAGGGGUUGGGGAUAGGGGUGGAUGGAUGAUAAGGGGUUGGGGAUAGGGGUGGAUGGAUGAUAAGGGGUUGGGGAUAGGGGUGGAUGGAUGAUAAGGGGUUGGGGAUAGGGGUGGAUGGAUGAUAAGGGGUUGGGGAUAGGGGUGGAUGGAUGAUAAGGGGUUGGGGAUAGGGGUGGAUGGAU